rnacentral:rRNA from 1 species
UAAGGAGGGGGCUAGCGUUGUUCGGAAUUACUGGGCGUAAAGCGCACGUAGGCGGACAGUUAAGUCGGGGGUGAAAUCCCGGGGCUCAACCCCGGAACUGCCUUCGAUACUGGCUGUCUGGAGGUCGAGAGAGGUGAGUGGAAUUCCGAGUGUAGAGGUGAAAUUCGUAGAUAUUCGGAGGAACACCAGUGGCGAAGGCGGCUCACUGGCUCGAUACUGACGCUGAGGUGCGAAAGCGUGGGGAGCAAACACG